rnacentral:rRNA from 1 species
AGUGAACGCUGGCGGUAGGCCUAACACAUGCAAGUCGAACGGCAGCACAGUAAGAGCUUGCUCUUACGGGUGGCGAGUGGCGGACGGGUGAGGAAUACAUCGGAAUCUACUUUUUCGUGGGGGAUAACGUAGGGAAACUUACGCUAAUACCGCAUCCGACCUACGGGUGAAAGCAGGGGAUCUUCGGACCUUGCGCGAUUGAAUGAGCCGAUGUCGGAGUAGCUAGUUGGCGGGGUAAAGGCCCACCAAGGCGCCGAUCCGUAGCUGGUCUGAGAGGAUGAUCAGCCACACUGGAACUGAGACACGGUCCAGACUCCUACGGGAGGCAGCAGUGGGGAAUAUGGGACAAUGGGCGCAAGCCUGAUCCAGCCAUACCGCGUGGGUGAAGAAGGCCUUCGGGUUGUAAAGCCCUUUUGUUGGGAAAGAAAAGCAGCAGGUUAAUACCCCGCUGUUCUGACGGUAACCAAAGAAUAAGCACCGGCUAACUUCGUG